rnacentral:rRNA from 1 species
GCAUGCCUGUUCGAGCGUCAUUUCAACCCUCAAGCACCGCUUGGUUUUGGGGCCCCACGGCACACGUGGGCCCUUGAAGGUAGUGGCGGACCCUCCCGGAGCCUCCUUUGCGUAGUAACUAACGUCUCGCACCGGGAUCCGGAGGGACUCUUGCCGUAAAACCCCCCAAUUCUUUACAGGUUGACCUCGGAUCAGGUAGGAAUACCCGCUGAACUUAAGCAUAUCAAUAAGCGGAGGAAAAGAAACCAACAGGGAUUGCCCCAGUAACGGCGAGUGAAGCGGCAACAGCUCAAAUUUGAAAUCUNGNCCCCAGGCCCGAGUUGUAAUUUGCAGAGGAUGCUUUUGGCGCGGUGCCUUCCGAGUUCCCUGGAACGGGACGCCAUAGAGGGUGAGAGCCCCGUACGGUUGGACACCAAGCCUUUGUAAAGCUCCUUCGACGAGUCGAGUAGUUUGGGAAUGCUGCUCUAAAUGGGAGGUACAUUUCUUCUAAAGCUAAAUAUUGGCCAGAGACCGAUAGCGCACAAGUAGAGUGAUCGAAAGAUGAAAAGCACUUUGAAAAGAGGGUUAAACAGCACGUGAAAUUGUUAAAAGGGAAGCGCUUGUGACCAGACUUGCGUCCGGUGAAUCACCCAGCUCUCGCGGCUGGGGCACUUCGCCGGCACAGGCCAGCAUCAGCUUGCCGUCGGGGACAAAAGCUUCAGGAACGUGGCUCCUCUCGGGGAGUGUUAUAGCCUGUUGCAUAAUACCUUCGGCGGGCUGAGGUACGCCGUCCGCAAGGAUGCUGGCGUAAUGGUCAUCAGCGACCCGUCUUGAAACACGGACCAAGGAGUCAACCUUAUGUGCGAGUGUUUGGGUGUUAAACCCCUACGCGUAAUGAAAGU